GAUGAACGCUGGCGGCGUGCCUAAUACAUGCAAGUCGAGCGAACGGACGAGAAGCUUGCUUCUCUGAUGUUAGCGGCGGACGGGUGAGUAACACGUGGAUAACCUACCUAUAAGACUGGGAUAACUUCGGGAAACCGGAGCUAAUACCGGAUGAUAUUUUGAACCGCAUGGUUCAAAAGUGAAAGACGGCCUUGCUGUCACUUAUAGAUGGAUCCGCGCUGCAUUAGCUAGUUGGUAAGGUAACGGCUUACCAAGGCAACGAUGCAUAGCCGACCUGAGAGGGUGAUCGGCCACACUGGAACUGAGACACGGUCCAGACUCCUACGGGAGGCAGCAGUAGGGAAUCUUCCGCAAUGGGCGAAAGCCUGACGGAGCAACGCCGCGUGAGUGAUGAAGGUCUUCGGAUCGUAAAACUCUGUUAUUAGGGAAGAACAUAUGUGUAAGUAACUGUGCACAUCUUGACGGUAUCUAAUCAGAAAGCCACGGCUAACUACGUG
rnacentral:rRNA from 1 species